AGUGAACGCUGGCGGUAGGCCUAACACAUGCAAGUCGAACGGCAGCACAGUAAGAGCUUGCUCUUACGGGUGGCGAGUGGCGGACGGGUGAGGAAUACAUCGGAAUCUACUUUUUCGUGGGGGAUAACGUAGGGAAACUUACGCUAAUACCGCAUACGACCUACGGGUGAAAGCAGGGGAUCUUCGGACUUUGCGCGAUUGAAUGAGCCGAUGUCGGAUUAGCUAGUUGGCGGGGUAAAGGCCCACCAAGGCGACGAUCCGUAGCUGGUCUGAGAGGAUGAUCAGCCACACUGGAACUGAGACACGGUCCAGACUCCUACGGGAGGCAGCAGUGGGGAAUAUUGGACAAUGGGCGCAAGCCUGAUCCAGCCAUACCGCGUGAGUGAAGAAGGCCUCCGGGUUGUAAAGCCCUUUUGUUGGGAAAGAAAAGCAGCAGGUUAAUACCCCGCUGUUCUGACGGUACCCAAAGAAUAAGCACCGGCUAACUUCGUG
rnacentral:rRNA from 1 species